UGGGGCAGAGGUUAGAAUCCACCGACAAAGCAUCUACCAUCCAUUUCACGUGCUUGCGCUUAAGAAAAAUUUUUUUUUAACAUUAAUUCAUUUUCGAGAGUGAGAGAGACAGAGCAUGAGUGGGGGAGGAGAAGAGAGAGGGAGACACAGAAGCUAAAGCAGGCUCCAGGCUCAGAGCUGUUCAGCACAGAGCCGGACGUGGGGCUCGAACUCACGGACCGCGAGAUCAUGACCUGAGCCAAAGUGGGACUCUUAACCAACGGAGCCACCCAGGCGCCCCCACGUGCUUGCACUUUGUACGGUAAAUCCUCUUGUCCCCCUAGUGAAGUUAGGUUGACAAUAAUCAAACUCUGAAAAAAUAUUACCGCAGGAUUCAGGCUCAGUUCUACAACAGGGCUCUUCUUGUGGCCUUGAUUCUUCAAUCCACUCAAAUCUUGACCACUGGCUUUGUUGUCCUGUUACAGGAUAUGACUGAGGAACGACCAUGCCAAGACGGGUGCUCUGGUCUCCGGUCAUGAUAAGAGGCCCUGUGACCUCGACUGUCCCCUUCAGCUUAACUCUUGCUUCGUGGCUCCUCUGCUGUAACCAUAUCCUUUGUCCUGGAUUUGAGAUGCUGUUCCCGCACACUUGUUUUCUCUUCAUCCUCACAAAUCUCGAGCAUUCCACCUUGGGUGCUCUCUUUCGUUGAACUCCCAGCUUAUUUGAAAGUUCCUUGUAUCUUCAAAAGUGCACGGGACCUACCGUAGACGUCGAUGCCUCAGAAGCCUUCGUUCUCUGAAUCUUCCUGGUCUUGUCGCUUUGCCGGCCCCAUUAUUUUAGACAUCCUGAGCCAAACACGGCCUCGCAUCAGAAAAGGGCCACAUAUAUACCAUUCCACACCUAUGUUUCAAUCACAGUUGACUCACCAGCCUGACGACCCCCAUCAAUUCUCAGUGAUUCUGGGGAGCGGGUUAUUUUUCUGGGCCCAGACCCAAAAUAUCGAGGUUAGAAUUCAGUAUUAAGCUGGUCUCCCUAGGAUGUCAUUAAGAGGGUUUAGUUACCGAAACACUGAAGGAUAUUGUCAUAAUACAGCAAUUUCACCCCCCAUGGCCUCCUAUCCCAGACUGUUGUAACUUCACAUUUUUCAGUUCUGGUGCCCUUGAGGGGGGUUGGGGUGAGGGGACCCAUCAGAAACGGACACCUUUGCCUCUUUAUCACUGCACGAAUCAAGCAGCGUGGUGCUGUCGCGGCUUUAGAAAAUGGAAAAAGCUGGCUCUGCCCGACGUGGCCGCAGGGAGGAGGGUAUCUUCCAAGAUGUUUGUGAGAAUAAGACGUACAAAACACCAAUUUUUAAGGGCUGGCAGAUCGUGGAGGUGUCAACCAGAGGAAUGUCGAGUGAAAAUCUCUGGAAUGCUCGAGCAACCUUUCAAAUUUACUGCCAGGAAACGUGGGCUGCUUCCCUUCCCUGCAUCUUUUCAAAAGAUCUCUUGUGAAUCCAGUCAAAUCCAGGGCAGGUACAGAGGGCGGCUGACAGUGAUAAGGGACGCAGUGUUUUCUGCAACUGCCUCAGCUCCCGUCCGACCAAACCCCGUUAAUAUGUAACCCGAAUCCGACCAUUUCUUUUAUGUUUGCCUUUGGUGUCGCAAUGACUUUUAACCCGUGCAAGACCGAUUCAAAGUCGCCUUUUUUUUUUUCUUGGCCGUUGUCCACGAUCUCUCAGGGGCUCAGGAGCAGAAUGGCCCUAAGUCACAUCAGGGGGAUUCGAGUCUGGUGGAAUUAAAAGUCACUUACCUUAUGACACAUGCGAGGGUGCUGAUGAGGGAUGGGUCAGUUCGUGCAGGGAGAAGACGUUACAGCAGAUAGAAUAUUUGGUUGUUUGUGCUGAGGCCACAGAUGACGAGGAAGAGCUACAUGUGUGGCACAAUUCGUCAAAAACGGGCGUGUAACCACACACCUAUCAGAAAGGGCCAAAACAAAAACAAAAUGCUGACUCGGGUGGGGGGGAGGGCUGGAGAGGAUACAGAGCAACGGCAACUCUCAAAUACUGCUCUUGGGAAUGACGCAUGGUUCAGCCACUUUGGAAAAUGGUUUUGCGGGGCGCCUGGGUGGCUCUGUCGGUUAAGCGUCCGACUUCAGCUCAGGUCAUGAUCUUGGGGUUCGUGAGUUCGAGCCCCGCGUCGGGCUCUGUGCUGACAGCUCGGAGCCUGGAGCCUGCUUCCGAUUCUGUGUCUCUAUCUCUCUCAGUCCCUCCCCCGCUCAUCUCUGUCUGUGUGCAUGUGUGUCUCUCUCUCAAAAAAUAAACAUUAAAAAAAAAAAAGAAAACAGUUUUGCAAUUUCACAGUAAGUUCAGCAUAUGCUUACCAUAAGACCUAAAAAUCCCAUUCCUAGGUAGUUUUACCCGAGAGAAAUUAAAACUAUUUGCUCACUAAAGCCUCUGCGUGAAUGGUGGUAGGGGCUGUUGUCAUUCACAGUCAUCAAGUGUCCUUGACUUGAUAAACGGGGGGAACACGUUGUGGUUCCCCCACACAAUGGAGAGUUAGUUGGCAGUAAAAAGAAAUGAGCUGCUGAUCUGUGUAGUAACAUGAUUAAAUCUCAGAUGCGUUAGGUUACGUGAAAGAAGCCAGACGCAAAAGGCUAUAAACUAGACGAUCCCAUUUUGAUGACAUUCUGAAAAAAGGCAUACCUAUGGGGACAGAGAACCGAUCAGUGGUUGCCAGGGUUUAGGGGUUGGGGUGAAUUCAAAGGCGACAUGUGGGAAAUUUGGGGUGUGAUGGAACUACGUGGGUUGUGAUGGCGAUGACGUGACUGUGUGCCCGCCUCAAAACUCCCAGAAUCGUGCACUAGAAAGGGUGGGUUUAUACCCCAAUAAACCUGACUUUUAAUAAAGUGUGUGGGUUAGUGUCCCCCAGAAUUUCCUAUUCUUAUAUUUGCCGAUGUGAUAUACAUAUUGGGGGGACCACCCAACUCAUACUGCUUCUUUAGAAGUGACCUUUUGGGGGCUCCUGGGUGGCUCAGUCGGUUGAGGGGCCGACUUCAGCUCAGGUCAGGAUCUCGCGGUCCGUGAGUUCGAGCCCCGCGUCGGGCUCUGUGCUGAUGGCUCGGAGCCUGGAGCCUGCUUUGGAUUCUGUGUCUCCAUCUCUCUCUGCCCCUCCCCCGCUCUCUCUCUCUCUCUCUCUCUCUCUCAAACAUAAAUAAACAUAAAAAAAAAAAGAAGUGGCCUUUUGCCGCCCAGUCCCUGCGGAAAGGGUGGGCUCAGGCUAUACUUCUUUUAGACUCCACACUCUGACCCCUUGAAAGGACCAUGGGUGGACAGCUACCCUGAACGAAACACGUAACAUGCUCUCUUUUGAGACUUUGCUGUAAGAGACGUGGAAACCACAGUCCAGAGGGUGUAGAUUUUGGCUUGCAGAUAUGUUUUGUUUGGCCCGCCCAAUGUUUAAAGAAAUCGAAUUAAUUGCCAACAUUAAAAAAUGGGAGAUUUCACAUAAAAAUCCAGAUUUCCGGCUUCUCUUUGAGAAAUGGGAGGAUCCGGUAAAAUGGGCUCAAGUUCCCGCCUGGAGACAAUGGCUGGAACAGAGACCCUCACCCCCUUCCCACCAGCACACCGUCUGUGUGCGCACAGCCGCUCUGGCUCCCCGGAGAAGCCAGCAGUGGCUGUGUUCAUGCGGUCAGUCUGGCUACGUACGAGCGUUCAGGGAAAUACGAAACAUUUCUUGCACCUUCCACUUCCAUCAAAAGUGGGAAGGCAAAAGGUAAAUCCAUGUUCCGUGAGAAACGAGAAUGGCGUAUUACUCUGCGAAAGCAAGCUUUAUUCCAAUGGCGUAUGAUAAGCAAACCAAACGGAUGUGCACUGGAAGAACACAGAUUUAGAUUCCUCUGAAGCCAGCGAGGCUCUCUGGGCUCAGCUGGGUUGCCUCCCUGGCCUCUGGAGGCCCCCGGGUCUGCUCCACUCUGCCAGUCCACCGACGGAAGAACGGAGCACUGUGGUGUAUCUGCCCGCGGCUCCUCUUAUCCGUUCAGCAAAUAUGUAUGAAGCGAGUUAGACUGAAGACGAAUGAGCAUCGCAAGACCCCUGUCCAUGUGCAAACCAGGGUCAUCAGGGAGGGAAACGGAGAGCCUUACAAAGAAGCAAGUCUGCAGAAGUUUUACAGGUGUGUGUGUGUGUGUAUGUGUGUGUGCCAGAGAGACAGUGAGAGAGACAGAGAGGAGAGGACAGACAUCCACAAGGGAGAGCCAGUAGAUUCCCUCCAAUCGCUCACAGUGAGGAGGCCGGGACAUAACUCACGUCCUACAGACGACACUUGUCAGGCUCUAACAUGCACGUGAAUCCUGGGGGAGGUUGUGUAAGUGCCCGUUCUGACUCAGUAGGUCUGGAGUCGGGCCUGAGAUUCUGCAUUUGUAACAAGGUCCCAGAUGAUGUCAGUGCCGCUGAUCAGCGGACCGCAUUGUGAACAGCAAACCUCCAAAUCAUACGUACAAAGACACAGUAAAAGAUUACCUGCCUGACGUUUGCUUUUAAGCCAUGUGCUCUCCAUUGAAAAAGGACCCGGUAAAACCAUUUUUUAAAAUUUUUGUCACCGAAGAAUAUCACUCCUCUUGCGGUCUAGGUAGUGGGUGGCGGAGGCUGGCAGUCUGGGAAGCAGGAAGGACUGGGAAUAACCGACUGGCACCUUCCGAGAAGCCGCCGGGGGUAACAGUCCAGUGAACAGACCAACAGGUGCACCUGGCCAGCCCGGGCGUGGUGGCUUGGCUCUGUGACCUUAGGCACAACACUCUUUCUCAGCAGCCAAAAGGAGGUAUGGCAGGCAACCCCGUGUGACAGAAGCCUCUGCACAAUGUACUGCUCUCUCGUGGAUGGAAAUAGCUCAAUAAAGAACAUUACAGCAGUCUGUGCAGGAAGAACGACCCGCAUUCCCCAGAGGGAACUUGCAGAGAUCCAAACUGGGCGCCACUAGACUAAAACAGCAUUGGAUCCGCCCACGGCUCCACUUAUCCAUUCAACAAAUAUUUAUGAGCGAGUUUCUGUGCCUAGCCUCGCUAAGCCCCGGGACUGCUUCAGCCAUGAGAAAGGACAAGGAGGUCACUGCCCUCGUGAAACCUAAUGUCUCCUAGCGGUAGACCCUUAAAUGGGAUCUUACAAAUAAUGAGUUAAUAAUAAUUUGAUAUCUACGAAGAGGGGCAGAGGUCUCCGUGAGAUCCUUAGGGAACCUAGUCCAGUCUGGAGGUUCAGUAAAUCUUCCUCCAUAAAAAUGACAUUUCCGUUGGGACCGGAAGGGGUUAUGCAGCGGAGAGCUGGGAGAGGGGGCCUGUUCUUGGCAGAGGAGACCAUGUGCUGGAGAAAGCGCCGGAAGGUCAGGGUGGCUGGGGUGUGGUGAGUCAGAAAGGACAGAGAGAUGAGUAAAAGCCCGAUCUGAAGGGCCUGGAAGGCCUGGGGAAGGGACUCCGUCUUUGUCCUGAGAACAACUGGAAGACCAGCGGAAGGUUUUAAGAAUGAUGUGCUCGGACUCGGGUCUCCCGUUUGGCUUUUACCAGAUGACGUGUGGCCGCGGAUCCUCCUUGGGAUUUUCUGCGUACAUUCAGCCCCAGGUGGAAAGGACUGUGGAAGCAAAAAUGGCGCCCCCAUUUCAUUGUCCUGUUCACUGGAAGUGGACCCGCGGGCUCUCUGAGGAACAAGCAACCCAUAAACAUGCUGAGGACAAAGGCAGUCUGGUCUGAUGGCUCCAAAGAACGAAACAGCAACACAAAACGCAACCAAGAAACCCAACAACAGCGACAAAAAACCCUGGGUGUUCCAGGUCAGACUUAAAUCGGUUCCUCGAGGGCUAAUUCUCACUACUGUUCCACUGUCAUUAGUGGUACCACCGCUAAUUACGAUGACCACAGCUACUAUUGACGAAGGGCUCAUGGCCUGCCAGUUAUAUAUAAACAAAUAAAUGUGUAUACAUAAGUGUUAUAAACAUAUAUACACACAAAUAUAUAUAUGCACGUGUACAAAAUAGACGUAUACCCUGGUUCUAAUCCGUGCAAGAAAAACCUGCCUGAAAGACGGAUAUUACUGUUCCCAAUUCAUCUGAUGUACAAGGAAAGGGAGUUUUACAACGUCCAGAGCGAAGUUGACGGUAAGGGUAGAGGCAGGUUUGGAACACGUGUCUGUCUUCGAAGCCCUGACGUGUCCCCAUCACCACACCGACCCCGGUAAGUAGAGGCCGGGCGAGCGUAUGGGGCACAGUAUGCAUGGGCUUACGCAGAAUUCACCCUGCUCGCUUCUUUUCUUUUUUGAAAAAAAAAUAAAAAUAAAUUUUU